AUUGAACGCUGGCGGCAGGCCUAACACAUGCAAGUCGAGCGGCAGCGGGAAAGUAGCUUGCUACUUUUGCCGGCGAGCGGCGGACGGGUGAGUAAUGCCUGGGGAUCUGCCCAGUCGAGGGGGAUAACUACUGGAAACGGUAGCUAAUACCGCAUACGCCCUACGAGGGAAAGCAGGGGACCUUCGGGCCUUGCGCGAUUGGAUGAACCCAGGUGGGAUUAGCUAGUUGGUGAGGUAAUGGCUAACCAAGGCGACGAACCCUAGCUGGUCUGAGAGGAUGAUCAGCCACACUGGAACUGAGGCACGGUCCAGGCUCCUACGGGAGGCAGCAGUGGGGAAUAUUGCACAAUGGGGGAAACCCUGAUGCAGCCAUGCCGGGUGUGUGAAGAAGGCCUUCGGGUUGUAAAGCACUUUCAGCGAGGAGGAAAGGUUGGUAGCUAAUAACUGCCAGCUGUGACGUUACUCGCAGAAGAAGCACCGGCUAACUCCGUGCCAGCAGCCGCCGUAA
rnacentral:rRNA from 1 species